rnacentral:rRNA from 1 species
AGCGUACACGGUGGAUGCCCUGGCAGUCAGAGGCGAUGAAGGACGUGCUAAUCUGCGAUAAGCGUCGGUGAGGUGAUAUGAACCGUUAUAACCGGCGAUUUCCGAAUGGGGAAACCCAGUGUGUUUCGACACACUAUCAUUAACUGAAUCCAUAGGUUAAUGAGGCGAACCGGGGGAACUGAAACAUCUAAGUACCCCGAGGAAAAGAAAUCAACCGAGAUUCCCCCAGUAGCGGCGAGCGAACGGGGAGGAGCCCAGAGCCUGAAUCAGUGUGUGUGUUAGUGGAAGCGUCUGGAAAGGCGUGCGAUACAGGGUGACAGCCCCGUACACAAAAAUGCACAUAUUGUGAGCUCGAUGAGUAGGGCGGGACACGUGGUAUCCUGUCUGAAUAUGGGGGGACCAUCCUCCAAGGCUAAAUACUCCUGACUGACCGAUAGUGAACCAGUACCGUGAGGGAAAGGCGAAAAGAACCCCGGCGAGGGGAGUGAAAAAGAACCUGAAACCGUGUACGUACAAGCAGUGGGAGCCUCUUAAUGGGGUGACUGCGUACCUUUUGUAUAAUGGGUCAGCGACUUAUAUUCUGUAGCAAGGUUAACCGAAUAGGGGAGCCGAAGGGAAACCGAGUCUUAACUGGGCGUUAAGUUGCAGGGUAUAGACCCGAAACCCGGUGAUCUAGCCAUGGGCAGGUUGAAGGUUGGGUAACACUAACUGGAGGACCGAACCGACUAAUGUUGAAAAAUUAGCGGAUGACUUGUGGCUGGGGGUGAAAGGCCAAUCAAACCGGGAGAUAGCUGGUUCUCCCCGAAAGCUAUUUAGGUAGCGCCUCGUGAAUUCAUCUCCGGGGGUAGAGCACUGUUUCGGCAAGGGGGUCAUCCCGACUUACCAACCCGAUGCAAACUGCGAAUACCGGAGAAUGUUAUCACGGGAGACACACGGCGGGUGCUAACGUCCGUCGUGAAGAGGGAAACAACCCAGACCGCCAGCUAAGGUCCCAAAGUCAUGGUUAAGUGGGAAACGAUGUGGGAAGGCCCAGACAGCCAGGAUGUUGGCUUAGAAGCAGCCAUCAUUUAAAGAAAGCGUAAUAGCUCACUGGUCGAGUCGGCCUGCGCGGAAGAUGUAACGGGGCUAAACCAUGCACCGAAGCUGCGGCAGCGACACUAUGUGUUGUUGGGUAGGGGAGCGUUCUGUAAGCCUGUGAAGGUGGCCUGUGAGGGUUGCUGGAGGUAUCAGAAGUGCGAAUGCUGACAUAAGUAACGAUAAAGCGGGUGAAAAGCCCGCUCGCCGGAAGACCAAGGGUUCCUGUCCAACGUUAAUCGGGGCAGGGUGAGUCGACCCCUAAGGCGAGGCCGAAAGGCGUAGUCGAUGGGAAACAGGUUAAUAUUCCUGUACUUGGUGUUACUGCGAAGGGGGGACGGAGAAGGCUAUGUUGGCCGGGCGACGGUUGUCCCGGUUUAAGCGUGUAGGCUGGUUUUCCAGGCAAAUCCGGAAAACCAGGGCUGAGGCGUGAUGACGAGGCACUACGGUGCUGAAGCGACAAAUGCCCUGCUUCCAGGAAAAGCCUCUAAGCAUCAGGUAACAUCAAAUCGUACCCCAAACCGACACAGGUGGUCAGGUAGAGAAUACCAAGGCGCUUGAGAGAACUCGGGUGAAGGAACUAGGCAAAAUGGUGCCGUAACUUCGGGAGAAGGCACGCUGAUAUGUAGGUGAAGCGACUUGCUCGUGGAGCUGAAAUCAGUCGAAGAUACCAGCUGGCUGCAACUGUUUAUUAAAAACACAGCACUGUGCAAACACGAAAGUGGACGUAUACGGUGUGACGCCUGCCCGGUGCCGGAAGGUUAAUUGAUGGGGUUAGCGGCAACGCGAAGCUCUUGAUCGAAGCCCCGGUAAACGGCGGCCGUAACUAUAACGGUCCUAAGGUAGCGAAAUUCCUUGUCGGGUAAGUUCCGACCUGCACGAAUGGCGUAAUGAUGGCCAGGCUGUCUCCACCCGAGACUCAGUGAAAUUGAACUCGCUGUGAAGAUGCAGUGUACCCGCGGCAAGACGGAAAGACCCCGUGAACCUUUACUAUAGCUUGACACUGAACAUUGAGCCUUGAUGUGUAGGAUAGGUGGGAGGCUUUGAAGUGUGGACGCCAGUCUGCAUGGAGCCGACCUUGAAAUACCACCCUUUAAUGUUUGAUGUUCUAACGUUGGCCCGUAAUCCGGGUUGCGGACAGUGUCUGGUGGGUAGUUUGACUGGGGCGGUCUCCUCCUAAAGAGUAACGGAGGAGCACGAAGGUUGGCUAAUCCUGGUCGGACAUCAGGAGGUUAGUGCAAUGGCAUAAGCCAGCUUGACUGCGAGCGUGACGGCGCGAGCAGGUGCGAAAGCAGGUCAUAGUGAUCCGGUGGUUCUGAAUGGAAGGGCCAUCGCUCAACGGAUAAAAGGUACUCCGGGGAUAACAGGCUGAUACCGCCCAAGAGUUCAUAUCGACGGCGGUGUUUGGCACCUCGAUGUCGGCUCAUCACAUCCUGGGGCUGAAGUAGGUCCCAAGGGUAUGGCUGUUCGCCAUUUAAAGUGGUACGCGAGCUGGGUUUAGAACGUCGUGAGACAGUUCGGUCCCUAUCUGCCGUGGGCGCUGGAGAACUGAGGGGGGCUGCUCCUAGUACGAGAGGACCGGAGUGGACGCAUCACUGGUGUUCGGGUUGUCAUGCCAAUGGCACUGCCCGGUAGCUAAAUGCGGAAGAGAUAAGUGCUGAAAGCAUCUAAGCACGAAACUUGCCCCGAGAUGAGUUCUCCCUGACUCCUUGA